rnacentral:rRNA from 1 species
UCCUGCAGCUAUAUCACCCAGCAGCCAACUGAAGCUCAGCAGGUACAGUAUGAGCCUGAUCAGUACCUGGAUGGGAAACCUCCUGGGAAAAACUAAGGUUGCUGCUGGCA